GAUGAACGCUGGCGGCGUGCCUAAUACAUGCAAGUCGAGCGAACAGACGAGGAGCUUGCUCCUCUGACGUUAGCGGCGGACGGGUGAGUAACACGUGGAUAACCUACCUAUAAGACUGGGAUAACUUCGGGACACCGGAGCUAAUACCGGAUAAUAUAUUGAACCGCAUGGUUCAAUAGUGAAAGACGGUUUUGCUGUCACUUAUAGAUGGAUCCGCGCCGCAUUAGCUAGUUGGUAAGGUAACGGCUUACCAAGGCAACGAUGCGUAGCCGACCUGAGAGGGUGAUCGGCCACACUGGAACUGAGACACGGUCCAGACUCCUACGGGAGGCAGCAGUAGGGAAUCUUCCGCAAUGGGCGAAAGCCUGACGGAGCAACGCCGCGUGAGUGAUGAAGGUCUUCGGAUCGUAAAACUCUGUUAUUAGGGAAGAACAAAUGUGUAAGUAACUAUGCACGUCUUGACGGUACCUAAUCAGAAAGCCACGGCUAACUACGUG
rnacentral:rRNA from 1 species